CAGGAUGUUCUCUUGAUGCAGCAAUAUCGGAUGAUAUUCAGUCUAUUCCUGCACCAGUUAUUACUCCAGAAUAUCUUCCUUUGGAACCAAAGACCUUGAAUGACAGUUGCAUGACAUACUUUGAUGUUGAAACAACAGGACUUGGUAAGGAUUACUUAUUAUGACAAAAGGCUUAAAGUAUUUAAGAAUUUGAAUACCUCUUUUUGUAGAUUUACUGGGGUGUAAAAGUAUUGUCUGAAGUACUUUUUGGAGAAGCACAGAUUUGCUUCAUUCUAAAAUAUGUUGCACAGUAAACGCUCCUUUACAACCCUAUAAAAUUACUAAAAAAAAGCAUUCAUUAAUAAUAACAUACUAUUUUGUAAGGAUCAUGAAAAGAAUUUUUUUCCCAGUUUUUUUCUUUUAUUCACCUGUGCACUUUAUUGUGAAAGCCAGUGUCAUCAGGAAGUUACAUGUCAUUUUGAAAUAAAGGUUACUUUUAGAAUGAUGCGAGAUUAUUGUUAACCAAUUCAAAAUAACGUGUUACAAAUGUAUAAUGAAACAUACAUGUAAUGUUAUUAUAUAGAUAUAAGUAGAUGUGGUAUGAAUGCCAAUGUGACAACUCUCCAUCUAAGUCUUUAACAUGGAGCCUUUGCUCAUACUGGACAACAAGCUAUAAAGGACCCAAAAAUGACUAACUAGUGUAAAACCAAUGUCAUAUAUAUUUGAGAUCUACAAAAACAUUGUUUUUUUUUUUUUUUUGCAUUGGCUAAAUUUGAAACAAUUGUUUGAAUUAUAGAAAAUUUAAAGUAUUCUUCUAAUACAGAACUUUAAUGUCAACCCAACUUUUCAAAACAGAAGUUCUUGUUAAAAAUGUGGAAGGAGCGUGAAAAGAACAGAGGUGGGCAACUGAUCAACAUAGAUCACUGUGACAUACAUUUUACACUUCAUCACAUUUUUGCUUGUAUUCAAUGUUCAAGCUCAUAUAUCAGCAUCUAGACUAUAUUUGGUAGAAUCAAGCAACCUCAAAUCUUAAUUGGGUUGCUGUUACUGACAUUUGAUGCUUCUAAACUCAUGACAAUAUUUUGAACAAGGUGGUAACUAAUACUAAAUGUAAUUUGUCUAACAGGUAACUUUGAACCUCUAGAUUAUAUUGUUUUUAUUUCAGGCAGAGAUUCUCACAUAAUACAGUUGUCUGCUGUCAACAGCCAAAACACAAAAUUCAACAGAUACAUAAAACCAGCUAGACCAAUAUUACCC
rnacentral:lncRNA from 1 species